rnacentral:lncRNA from 1 species
UGUUCUUUAAAAGUUUUUUUUUUUGAAACUGGUAAUGUUUGGUGACUUGGUAGGUUGAAAAUGUUAAGUGUAGGGACUUUAAAGGUAUUUUUUUGUUUUGAGUGUGGUUAUGUUUUGUGAUUUGGUAGGUUGAAAAUGAAUAAGUGUAGGGACUUGAAAGGUGGUUUUUUUUGUAAAGUGGUUAUGUUUGGUGACUUGGUAGGUUGGAACUGGUUUUGUCUAGGGACUUUAAAAGGUGUUUUUUGUAUUAAAAGUGGAUAUGUUGCGUUACUUGGAACGUUAAAAGUGGUUAAGUAUAGGGACUUUAAAGGUGUUUUUUUGGUUUCAAUGUUGUUAUGUAUGGUAAAAUAAUAUGUUGAAAAUGAUUAAAUGUAGGGAAUUUAAAGGUGUGUUUUUGUUUUAAAUGUAGUUAUAUUUGGUGAGUUGGUAGAUUGAAAAUGCUUAAGUGUAGAGACUUGAAUGGUGCUUUUUUGUUUUGAAAAUGGUUAUGUUUGGUGAGUUGGUAGGUUGAAAAUGGUAAAAUUGUUAAGUGUAACAACUUUAAAUGUGUUUUGUUGUUUUGAAUGUGGUUAUGUUUGGUGACUUGGUAGGUUGAAAAUGAUUAAGUGUAGGAUCUUUAAAGGUAAUUUUUUGUUUCGAAUGUGGUUAUCUUUCGUGAGUUGGUAGAUUUAAAAUGGUUAAGUGUAGGUACUUUAGAGGUGCUUUUUUGUUUUGAAAAUGAUUAUGUAGGGUGACUUGAUAGGUUGAAUAUGGUCAAGAGUAUGGACUUUAAAGGUGUUUUUUUUUUGUUUUGAAAGUGGUUAUGUUUGGUGACUUGGUAGGUUGAAAAUGGUUAAGUGUAGGGACUUUAAAGGUGUUUUUUUGUUUUGAAUGUGGUUAUGUUUUGUGAUUUGGUAGGUUGAAAAUGAAUAAGUGUAGGGACUUGAAAGGUGGUUUUUUCUGUAAGGUGGUUAUGUUUGGUGACUUGGUAGGUUGAAAAUGGUUAAGUGUAGGGACUUUAAAGGUGUUUUUUUGUUUUGAAUGUGGUUAUGUUUUGUGAUUUGGUAGGUUGAAAAUGAAUAAGUGUAGGGACUUGAAAGGUGGUUUUUUCUGUAAGGUGGUUAUGUUUGGUGACUUGGUAGGUUGAAAAUGGUUAAGUGUAGGGACUUUAAAGGUGUUUUUUUGUUUUGAAUGUGGUUAUGUUUUGUGAUUUGGUAGGUUGAAAAUGAAUAAGUGUAGGGACUUGAAAGGUGGUUUUUUCUGUAAGGUGGUUAUGUUUGGUGACUUGGUAGGUUGAAAAUGGUUAAGUGUAGGGACUUUAAAGGUGUUUUUUUGUUUUGAAUGUGGUUAUGUUUUGUGAUUUGGUAGGUUGAAAAUGAAUAAGUGUAGGGACUUGAAAGGUGGUUUUUUCUGUAAGGUGGUUAUGUUUGGUGACUUGGUAGGUUGAAAAUGGUUAAGUGUAGGGACUUUAAAGGUGUUUUUUUGUUUUGAAUGUGGUUAUGUUUUGUGAUUUGGUAGGUUGAAAAUGAAUAAGUGUAGGGACUUGAAAGGUGGUUUUUUCUGUAAGGUGGUUAUGUUUGGUGACUUGGUAGGUUGAAAAUGGUUAAGUGUAGGGACUUUAAAGGUGUUUUUUUGUUUUGAAUGUGGUUAUGUUUUGUGAUUUGGUAGGUUGAAAAUGAAUAAGUGUAGGGACUUGAAAGGUGGUUUUUUCUGUAAGGUGGUUAUGUUUGGUGACUUGGUAGGUUGAAAAUGGUUAAGUGUAGGGACUUUAAAGGUGUUUUUUUGUUUUGAAUGUGGUUAUGUUUUGUGAUUUGGUAGGUUGAAAAUGAAUAAGUGUAGGGACUUGAAAGGUGGUUUUUUCUGUAAGGUGGUUAUGUUUGGUGACUUGGUAGGUUGAAAAUGGUUAAGUGUAGGGACUUUAAAGGUGUUUUUUUGUUUUGAAUGUGGUUAUGUUUUGUGAUUUGGUAGGUUGAAAAUGAAUAAGUGUAGGGACUUGAAAGGUGGUUUUUUCUGUAAGGUGGUUAUGUUUGGUGACUUGGUAGGUUGAAAAUGGUUAAGUGUAGGGACUUUAAAGGUGUUUUUUUGUUUUGAAUGUGGUUAUGUUUUGUGAUUUGGUAGGUUGAAAAUGAAUAAGUGUAGGGACUUGAAAGGUGGUUUUUUCUGUAAGGUGGUUAUGUUUGGUGACUUGGUAGGUUGAAAAUGGUUAAGUGUAGGGACUUUAAAGGUGUUUUUUUGUUUUGAAUGUGGUUAUGUUUUGUGAUUUGGUAGGUUGAAAAUGAAUAAGUGUAGGGACUUGAAAGGUGGUUUUUUCUGUAAGGUGGUUAUGUUUGGUGACUUGGUAGGUUGAAAAUGGUUAAGUGUAGGGACUUUAAAGGUGUUUUUUUGUUUUGAAUGUGGUUAUGUUUUGUGAUUUGGUAGGUUGAAAAUGAAUAAGUGUAGGGACUUGAAAGGUGGUUUUUUCUGUAAGGUGGUUAUGUUUGGUGACUUGGUAGGUUGAAAAUGGUUAAGUGUAGGGACUUUAAAGGUGUUUUUUUGUUUUGAAUGUGGUUAUGUUUUGUGAUUUGGUAGGUUGAAAAUGAAUAAGUGUAGGGACUUGAAAGGUGGUUUUUUCUGUAAGGUGGUUAUGUUUGGUGACUUGGUAGGUUGAAAAUGGUUAAGUGUAGGGACUUUAAAGGUGUUUUUUUGUUUUGAAUGUGGUUAUGUUUUGUGAUUUGGUAGGUUGAAAAUGAAUAAGUGUAGGGACUUGAAAGGUGGUUUUUUCUGUAAGGUGGUUAUGUUUGGUGACUUGGUAGGUUGAAAAUGGUUAAGUGUAGGGACUUUAAAGGUGUUUUUUUGUUUUGAAUGUGGUUAUGUUUUGUGAUUUGGUAGGUUGAAAAUGAAUAAGUGUAGGGACUUGAAAGGUGGUUUUUUCUGUAAGGUGGUUAUGUUUGGUGACUUGGUAGGUUGAAAAUGGUUAAGUGUAGGGACUUUAAAGGUGUUUUUUUGUUUUGAAUGUGGUUAUGUUUUGUGAUUUGGUAGGUUGAAAAUGAAUAAGUGUAGGGACUUGAAAGGUGGUUUUUUCUGUAAGGUGGUUAUGUUUGGUGACUUGGUAGGUUGGAACUGGUUAUGUAUAGGGACUUUAAAGGUGUUUUUUGUAUUAAAAGUGGAUAUGUUGCGUUACUUGGAAGGUUAAAAAUGGUUAAGUAUAGGGACUUUAAAGGUGUUUUUUUGUUUUAAAUGUUGUUAUGUAUGGUAAAAUAAUAUGUUGAAAAUCAUUAAAUGUAGGGAAUUUAAAGAUGUGUUUUUGUUUUAAAUGUAGUUAUAUUUGGUGAGUUGGU